rnacentral:rRNA from 1 species
CCCUUAGAUGUUCUGGGCUGCACGCGCGCUACACUGAUGCACUCAACGAGUUUACGACCUUGCCCGAUAGGGUUGGGUAAUCUUUUUAAAAUGCAUCGUGAUGGGGAUAGAUUAUUGCAAUUAUUAAUCUUCAACGAGGAAUUCCUAGUAAGCGCGAGUCAUCAGCUCGUGCUGAUUACGUCCAUGCCCUUUGUACACACCGCCCGUCGCUCCUACCGAUUGAGUGCUCAGGUGAAUAAUUCGGACUGCAGCAAUGUUUGGAUCCCGAACGUUGCAGCGGAAAGUUUAGUGAACCUUAUCACUUAGAGGAAGGAGAAGUCGUAACA